rnacentral:rRNA from 1 species
AUUGAACGCUGGCGGCAGGCCUAACACAUGCAAGUCGAACGAGUGGCGGACGGGUGAGUAAUGCUUGGGAAUCUAGCUUAUGGAGGGGGAUAACUACUGGAAACGGUAGCUAAUACCGCGUACCAUAGGAUGAGCCCAGUUGGGAUUAGGUAGUUGGUGAGGUAAAGGCUCACCAAGCCGACGAUCCCUAGCUGGUCUGAGAGGAUGACCAGCCACACUGGGACUGAGACACGGCCCAGACUCCGACGGGAGGCAGCAGUGGGGAAUAUUGCGCAAUGGGGGCAAGCCUGAUCCAGCCAUCCCGCGUGUACGAAGAAGGCCUUCGGGUUGUAAAGCACUUUCGGCAGGAAAGCGGUACUCGCAGAAGAAGCACCGGCUAACUCCGUGCCAGCAGCCGCGGUAAUUC